rnacentral:lncRNA from 1 species
AUUUAUACAAAAUAGUGAGAAUAAAAGUGUGUAAUUUCAUCAAAACUUGGUAAAAGGGACCAAUAAAAUGAUAUAAAAAGUAGUACUAAUUGGUCCAUAACAACUCUCCCCAACUUAGCAUUUUGUUUAUCCCUAAACAAAAGUUUCCACCAUCACAACCAAAGCAAUGACACAAAAGAUUGAAACAAGGAUUUACCAAGGACAUUCAAAUGGUUCAAAAGUGUUUGGCAAUUUCUCAAUCCAUCUAUCUCAAUUCUAGACAAAACAUGAAUAAGA